GAUGGGUAGCUCAGUUGGUAAGGUAUGAGACUCUUAGGUUCAUGGGUUCGAGCCCCAUGUUGGGCA